AGUGGCGAACGGGUGAGUAACACGUGAGCAAUCUGCCCUUGACUCUGGGAUAAGCGUUGGAAACGACGUCUAAUACCGGAUACGACCUUGGAAGGCAUCUUCUGGGGUGGAAAGAAUUUUGGUCAAGGAUGAGCUCGCGGCCUAUCAGCUAGUUGGUGAGGUAAUGGCUCACCAAGGCGACGACGGGUAGCCGGCCUGAGAGGGUGACCGGCCACACUGGGACUGAGACACGGCCCAGACUCCUACGGGAGGCAGCAGUGGGGAAUAUUGCACAAUGGGCGAAAGCCUGAUGCAGCAACGCCGCGUGAGGGACGACGGCCUUCGGGUUGUAAACCUCUUUUAGUAGGGAAGAAGCGUAAAAGUGACGGUACCUGCAGAAAAAGCACCGGCUAACUACGUGCCAGCAGCCGCGGUAAUACGUAGGGUGCAAGCGUUGUCCGGAAUUAUUGGACGUAAAGAGCUCGUAGGCGG
rnacentral:rRNA from 1 species